rnacentral:rRNA from 1 species
AUUGAACGCUGGCGGCAGGCCUAACACAUGCAAGUCGAACGAGUGGCGGACGGGUGAGAAAUGUGUGGGAAACUGCGAGAUGGCGGGGGAUAACUACUGGAAACGGUAGCUAAUACCGCAUCCCAUGGGAUGUGCACAGAUGGGUUGAGCUAGGAGGUGGGGUAACGGCUCACCUAGGCGACGAUCCCUAGCUGGUAUGAGAGGAUGACCAGCCACACUGGAACUGAGACACGGCCCAGACUCCUACGGGAGGCAGCAGUGGGGAAUAUUGCACAAUGGGCGCAAGCCUGAUACAGCCAUGCCGCGUGUAUGAAGAAGGCCUUCGGGUUGUAAAGUACUUUCAGCGAGGAGGCGUUACUCGCAGAAGAAGCACCGGCUAACUCCGUGCCAGCAGCCGCGGUAAUAC